AUUCAGCUGACGAGUUUCAAAUAGGACGAAAUGAGAGUCCUGAAU
rnacentral:hammerhead_ribozyme from 1 species